GACGAACGCUGGCGGCGCGCUUAACACAUGCAAGUCGAACGGUAAGGCCCUUCGGGGUACACGAGUGGCGAACGGGUGAGUAACACGUGGGUGAUCUGCCCUGCACUUCGGGAUAAGCCUGGGAAACUGGGUCUAAUACCGGAUAGGACCACUGCCUGCAUGGGUGGUGGUGGAAAGCUUUUGCGGUGUGGGAUGGGCCCGCGGCCUAUCAGCUUGUUGGUGGGGUGAUGGCCUAACAAGGCGACGACGGGUAGCCGGCCUGAGAGGGUGACCGGCCACACUAGGACUGAGAUACGGCCCAGACUCCUACGGGAGGCAGCAGUGGGGAAUAUUGCACAAUGGGCGCAAGCCUGAUGCAGCGACGCCGCGUGAGGGAUGACGGCCUUCGGGUUGUAAACCUCUUUCAGUAGGGACGAAGCGCAAGUGACGGUACCUACAGAAGAAGGACCGGCCAACUACGUGCCAGCCGCCGCGGUAA
rnacentral:rRNA from 1 species